GGACUGGCUGGCCGGUCCGCCUCGCGGCGAGUACUGGUCUGGCUGGUCCUUUCCUUCUGGCGAACCGUCAUGGCCUUAACCGGCCGUGGCGGGGAACCAGGACUUUUACUGUGAAAAAAUUAGAGUGUUCAAAGCAGGCAAUCGCUUGGAUACAUUAGCAUGGAAUAAUGGAAUAGGACAAUGGUUCUAUUUGUUGGUUUCUAGGACCGUUGUA
rnacentral:rRNA from 1 species